rnacentral:rRNA from 1 species
CGCUCGAAAGAUCGCUCUGGCGGCCCCAAUAGUUAGCUGGUGAGGUACGUUGCACAGCGACGAUGGGGAGCUGUCUAGCGACGAUCAGCACACUUGGACUGAGAAACGCAGACUCCUACGGGAGGCAGCAGUGGGGAUCUGUGCAAUUGGGCGGAAGCCUUGACACAGCGACGCCGCGUGGGUGACGAAGGCUUCGGGUCGUAAAGCCUGUCAGCCGGGAAGAAGAUCACGUGGCAUUCAGGUGUACGUGGUCCUCGACGGUACCGGCGAAGGAAGCACCGGGCUAACUCCGUGCCAGCAGCCGCGGUAAGACGGAGGGUGCAAGCGUUGUUCGGAAUCAUUGGGCGUACAGGGCGCGCAGGCGGCCGGGCGGGUCCGGUGUGAAAGCCCGGGGCUCAACCCCGGAAGCGCACUGGAAACUGUCUGGCUUGAGUCCGGGAAGGGCCAGUGGAAUUCCUGGUGUAGGGGUGAAAUCCGUAGAGAUCAGGAGGAACACCAGAGGCGAAAGCGACUGGCUGGACCGGGACUGACGCUGAGGCGCGAAAGCACGGGCAGCGAACAGGAUUAGAUACCCUGGUAGUCCGUGCCGUAAACGAUGUCCACUGGACGUCGGCUGGGUUGAACCGGUCGGGGUCGAAGCUAACGCGUUAAGUGGACCGCCUGGGGAGUACGGCCGCAAGGCCCAAACUCAAAGGAAUUGACGGGGGCCCGCACAAGCGGUGGAGCAUGUGGUUUAAUUCGAAGCAACGCGAAGAACCUUACCUGGGUUUGACAUCCCGCGGACCUGUCCGAGACGGCAGGGUGCCCCUUUGGGGAGCGCGGUGACAGGCGCUGCAUGGCUGUCGUCGGCUCGUGCCGUGAGGUGUUCGGUUAAGUCCGGCAACGAGCGCAACCCCUGUCCUUAGUUGCUACCACGUCGUGGUGGGCACUCUAGGGAGACUGCCGAGGUAAACUCGGAGGAAGGUGGGGACGACGUCAAGUCCUCAUGGCCCUUAUGCCCAGGGCUACACACGUGCUACAAUGGCCGAUACAGAGGGUCUGCGACCUCGCGAGAGGGAGCCAACCCCCCAAAGUCGGUCGCAGUACGGAUUGCAGUCUGCAACUCGACUGCAUGAAGUCGGAAUCGCUAGUAAUCGCGGAUCAGAACGCCGCGGUGAAUUCGUUCCCGGGCCUUGUACACACCGCCCGUCACACCAUGGAAGUCGUCUGCUCCAGAAGUCGGUGACCCAGACCGGGAGCCGCCGAAGGAUCUUU